UACGGGGGGGGCAAGCGUUGUUCGGAAUUACUGGGCGUAAAGGGCUCGUAGGCGGCCAACUAAGUCAGACGUGAAAUCCCUCGGCUUAACCGGGGAACUGCGUCUGAUACUGGAUGGCUAGAGUUUGGGAGAGGGAUGCGGAAUUCCAGGUGUAGCGGUGAAAUGCGUAGAUAUCGAGAGGAACACCGGUGGCGAAGGCGGGUCUCUGGGCCGAUACUGACGCUGAGGAGCGAAAGCGUGGGGAGCGAACAGG
rnacentral:rRNA from 1 species